CAUCUUCUUGUUAUUAAAGAAUUUCGAUAACCGAUGGGGAUGCGUUCCAUUAGUUUGUUGGCGGGGUAACGGCCCACCAAGACAUCGAUGGAUAGGGGUUCUGAGAGGAAGGUCCCCCACAUUGGAACUGAGACACGGUCCAAACUCCUACGGGAGGCAGCAGUGAGGAAUAUUGGUCAAUGGACGAGAGUCUGAACCAGCCAAGUAGCGUGAAGGAUGACUGCCCUAUGGGUUGUAAACUUCUUUUAUAUGGGAAUAAAGUGCAGUAUGUAUACUGUUUUGUAUGUACCAUACGAAUAAGGAUCGGCUAACUCCGUGCCAGCAGCCGCGGUAAUACGGAGGAUCCGAGCGUUAUCCGGAUUUAUUGGGUUUAAAGGGAGCGUAGGCGGAAGCUUAAGUCAGUUGUGAAAGUUUGCGGCUCAACCGUAAAAUUGCAGUUGAUACUGGGUUUCUUGAGUGCAGUAGAGGUAGGCGGAAUUCGUGGUGUAGCGGUGAAAUGCUUAGAUAUCACGAAGAACUCCGAUUGCGAAGGCAGCUUACUGGACUGUAACUGACGCUGAUGCUCGAAAGUGUGGGUAUCAAACAGGAUUAGAUACCCUGGUAGUCCACACAGUAAACGAAGAGUACUCGCUGUUUGCGAUAUAAUGCAAGCGGCCAAG
rnacentral:rRNA from 1 species